rnacentral:rRNA from 1 species
CCGGCACGGUGGAGUAACACGUAUGCAAUCCACCUGUAACAGGGGAGUAACCCGGAGAAAUCCGACUAAUACCCAUAAUAUGGGCGCUCCGCAUGGAGAGCCCAUUAAAGAGAGCAAUUUUGGUUACAGACGAGCAUGCGCUCCAUUAGCCAGUUGGCGGGGUAACGGCCCACCAAAGCGACGAUGGAUAGGGGUUCUGAGAGGAAGGUCCCCCACAUUGGAACUGAGACACGGUCCAA